GGGAGAGCUUGACGCGCUGGUGCGGUCCCGGGACUUCAAAUCCCGUGAGGGGUCCUGAAAAGGGUCCCUGGAGGGUUCAAUUCCCUCGCUCUCCCG
rnacentral:tRNA from 1 species